rnacentral:pre_miRNA from 1 species
AUGGUACUCCCUCCGUUCGGAAUUACUUGUCUCAGAAAUGGAUGUAUCUAGAACUAAAAUACAUCUAGAUACAUCCAUUUCCGCGACAAAUAAUUCCAAACGGAGGGAGUACCUA